CNGUCGACUGGAUCCUGUAGUUGUAUCCUGGCUCAGGACGAACGCUGGCGGCGUGCUUAACACAUGCAAGUCGAACGAUGAAAGCAGGAGCUUGCUUUUGCUGGAUUAGUGGCGAACGGAUGAGUAACACGUGAGUAACCUGCCCUUGACUCUGGGAUAAGCGUUGGAAACGACGUCUAAUACCGGAUACGAGCUAGGACCGCAUGGUCACUAGUUGGAAAGAAUUUCGGUCAAGGAUGGACUCGCGGCCUAUCAGCUAGUUGGUGAGGUAAUGGCUCACCAAGGCGACGACGGGUAGCCGGCCUGAGAGAGUGAACGGCCACAUUGGGACUGAGACACGGCCCAAACUCCUACGGGAGGCAGCAGUGGGGAAUAUUGCACAAUGGGGGAAACCCUGAUGCAGCAACGCCGCGUGAAGGAAGAAGUAUUUCGGUAUGUAAACUUCUAUCAGCAGGGAAGAAAAUGACGGUACCUGACUAAGAAGCCCCGGCUAACUACGUGCCAGCAGCCGCGGUAAUACGUAGGGGGCAAGCGUUAUCCGGAUUUACUGGGUGUAAAGGGAGCGUAGGUGGCGAUGCAAGUCCGAUGUGAAAGCCCGGGGCUCAACCCCGGGACUGCAUUANAAACUGUGUUGCUUGAGUGCAGGANAGGUAAGUGGAAUUCCUAGUGUANCGGUGAAAUGCNUANAUNUUANGANGAACNCCNNUGGCNANNGCNGCUUACUGNACUGUANCUGACACUGAGCUCNNAANNNUGNGNANCNAACNNGAUUANAUNCCC
rnacentral:rRNA from 1 species